GCCAGCAGCCAUAUCGCCCUGCAACCCACCACUGGCGGCCCACUGAAGCCCAGCAGGUGUGAGCCUGGCCAGUGCCUGGAUGGGAGACCUCCUGGGAAAAACCUAAGGUUGCUGCAAGAA
rnacentral:rRNA from 1 species